GUGCUUCUCUCAAAGAAGAAAAUCUGAAGAACGUGGAGAAAAAUUGCACGGGUUCAGAACCCACGAAGCUGACGGUUUCCACAAUUUUAGAAACCAUCACCACCAUGUUACCUAUAUUUUUCUUCGUCCACUUCAUUGGCACCUUUUCUGCUUCAGAAAUCGAAAUCGAAAUUGCGAGUAAUCACCCAAGAGCACCCGGUGUAAAGACUGGCCAGACUCGAAAAACUUCCUUUCUCAUUCCGCACCACACCUGUUAUCCUGUAACUGAAGGUAAAGCAUCCGUUUUUUUGUCUUAAUGCAUGUAUAUUUCUAAUUUUGUUGGGUUCAAUAUAGUCUCCCCCAAUUUUUGUUGCUUUUCUUAUGAUGUGUUUUUUGUUGGUGCUGGUAUAACUAAAAAUCCUUUGUGCUCAGAUAAAGGAGGUAGGGUUCACACUCAGAAAGAGAGAAUAUUUAAAUUCGUACAGGAGGGAUAGUGUUCAAGUUAUUUAUCAGGUUAUUAUUUCAAAUCCUAUUUCUUUUUUGUCAUCACACGUGCUCUUCCAAGUUUUAGAUUGUUUGUUAGGAUUGUAUGAAUUUGGGUGUUUGAUUUUCGAAGUUUAAUUUUCUCUAUUUUGGCUAAUUUUGUCUUGGUUUCUCUCUGUCUCUUUCAUUCUUAUUUGUGAAUUUGUUAGGAUUUCUGAAUUUGGGUGUUUGAUUUUCGAAGUUUAAUAUUCUCUAUUUUGGCCAAUUUUGUCUUGGUUUCUCUCUGUCUCUUUCAUUCUUAUUUGUGAAUUUGUUAGGAUUUCUGAAUUUGGGUGUUUGAUUUUCGAAGUUUAAUCUUCUCUAUUUUGGCUAAUUUUAUCUUGGUUUCUCUCUGUCUCUUUCUUUUUUAUUUGUGAAUUAAUUUUGUUGGGUUCAAUGAUAAUCAGCUAGCUGCAUUUGACUUGGGGUAACAAAUGCAAGAGUUACAGAUGCACAAUUAUUAAUACAAAUGCAAGAGUUACAUUAUGUUCCUGAUGCACAAUUAUUAAUAUAAUAUUGCUGUUCAAGAGAAUCCAGCUUCUAAUACGUUGGCAAGCCUGUAAACAACUGGAUAAACCAACCUGUGAAUGUAGUUAUGUUUAUGAAUAGAUUCUAUAGCCAUAACACUUUGGGCAAUGUAAAAUCUUGCAACAGUUUCAGUCAAAGUCUCUUCUCAAUAAGCAAAGUCAUCAUGUCACCACCAAGUAGAUACUCCAUGAUUAGAUACAAGUAGUCAGCAUCUUGAAAGGAAUAGUAGAGUUUCACAAUGCAGUGACUAGCAACCUCUGCAAGCAAAUCCCUUUUAGCUCUAACAUGUUCAACCUACGUUGCAGAUAGUAUUUGGCCUGCUUAAGUUCUUUAUGGUAUCUGCAUUUUGAUUCUGUUUUGUGGCGUUUUCCUUUGUUUCUAAAUUCCAGUUAAUCACUCUGAAUCUCAAUGUUGUUGUUACUGAUUAGCUGUGAUUUUCCCCAAAAAUAUGUAGCUUAAGAGUCGAUGAAGUAAUUCCAUGAAGUAAUUUCAUCAAUAUGCUUGCUCAAUGUUGUUGUUCUUUGAAUCUGUGUUUUGUUGUGAUAUUCGAAUUUCUCAUAUAUUAGACAAUGUCUUCCUCUUUUUGAUCUGUUUACUAUCACUAAUCUCUAAUUUUUUUUAAUCCUAAUGGAAUUUCUUUGAUUAUAUAUAUAUAUAUAUAUAUGGGUUUAAAUUAAUUGUUCCUGAUUUCAUUAAAUUUUACUGCAGUACUUGGACGAGAACAAGUCAUUGAUUCUGAAGAUCGUUGAGAGCCAGAAUACAGGGAAAUUGAGUGAAUGCGUAAAGUGAGCAUUUACUUUUUCAUUGACUGCUCUGCUUUGGACAUCUUUUAUUUUCACAGAUUGCUAUUUAUAAGCAACGUAUAUCUGUUAGGCUAUUUUUAUUUAUAUGUUAACUUGCUUUCUAAUUGAUACUGCAUGGUUGCAACUCAUGGUUUGCUUGGAAUUUGCUUGGAAUUUGCUCAAUGUUGUUGUUCUUUGAACCUGUUUUUUGUUGUGAUAUUUGAAUUUCUCAUAUAUUAGACCAUGUCUUCCUCUUUUUGAUCUGUUUACUAUCACUAAUCUCUAAUUUUUUGAUCACUAAUCUCUAAUUUUUUGAUCAUAAUGGAAUUUCUUUGAUUAUAUAUAGAUGUUGUUUCGCUAGAGCACCAAUGAAGAAAGCAUUUAGAUUUGAUGUGUUUGAUGUCAAUGGUAUGAAUCUCUCUCUCUCUCUCUCUCUCUCUCUCUCAUAUUUUGGUUUGGGAUUUUUGAAUUCUUUUUUUGUGAAUUAAUUUUGCUGGGUUUAAUGAUAUUAUCAGCUAGCUGCAUUUGACUUGGUGUAAAUCACGUACUUGGUCUGCUUAAGUUCUUUAUGGUAUCUACAAAUUAAAAAAAUUAAAAAAAAUAAAAAUUAAAAAAAAAGUUCUUUAUGGUAAUUUAUAAAGUAAGAAUUUUGAUUCUGUUUUCUGGCGUUUUCCUUUGUUUCUCCAGCUAAUAGAUGUAGGGGUUUCCACACUGGCCAUUGAUUUGUGUUGGCUUUUUAGUGGGUAGUUGCCAAAACCUUGGAUUUGGAACUCAGUGGUAUUUGUUUCAACAAUUGAACAUAUUUUUCAUCUCUUGGUAGCAUUUGUUUUUCUACUUUGUUGGUUAAGCCAACCCCAUUGUAGUGCGUAGAAGGAGAUUUACAGUUUCAUAUUGUGUCUUCUGGAUAUUGUUAUCAAAUUAACAAAUUUCCUGAUCUCUCGAUCUCUGCUUUUGCUUACCUAAAUUGCAUUUGCUUCAAGUUGGAAUGAAUGAGGUAUUUUGAGGCUAUAUAAUUAUGUGAUUGUUGUGCUUCAUUCUAAUUACUGUUUAUUUUUUUAGUAUGAAUCAUAGUUAAGCAGUCGUCCAAUUGCUAUCAAAAGUGAAGGUGAGUAUACGUGUUCCCAAAUUAUGCUAAAAUUUGUCAAUUACAAAUUUAAAGGGGAGUGUUUAAACUUGGUCUCAUCUCAUGUUAUUUAUGUAUGUAUAGAUUGACAAUGAAAAAGUGAAAGAUCAUUUAGAGAGGAACGGGUGGCUCAAGUGAUCUUGAUCGUUGCAUGUCUUCCUCCUAUGUGCAUAUUAUGUAAAUAUUUAUGUCCAGAAUCUAAUCACGCGAUGUUAUGUAGAAUGAAAAUAUUAUAUUACUUAAAUUAUUUGAGAUUUUCCUAUUAAUGUUGGAUUUGCUUUGGAUAAUAUUAACGUGUUGGUCAUUAAUUGAAUAUAUAAGAAUCCCCC
rnacentral:lncRNA from 1 species